rnacentral:lncRNA from 1 species
GUAAUGGAGGGCCUCUUCCAUCUAAAUGCCAACGUGGGCAGAGUAUUUACCUGCUAAACCAUUACACCGCAGGUGUAAUACUCUUUGGCGAAAGAGACCAAAUGAGACAACACAGCUUGCCAAGGACUGACUUCAGCUUGUACCAAGCAAUACUCUCAUUUGUGAAUGUUGGAGGAGUACACUGGAAACUACUGUACAUAAUUCCUGCCACAUGCUCGGUCUUUUUGGUGGAUCCAAUGGAGAACAAAGCCGAGGAAGCAGAGUCCUAAAAUCAACUUUUUCAUAAAGUUGGAUUUUACAUUUAGGUAGAUUUGCCUGAAGAAAUCAGUGUAAAAUAAUUAACAAAAUUUCAAAGAUGACAAUAGCAUCUGGUAUGAUAUCAUGCACCUUUUUUUGUUAAAAGGUUGCAAAUAACAGAAUAAGACAGAGAUCCCAAAAAGCUGUCAAUUAAAGCAGUUAUUUGGCUUUGCUGAUUAGAAGGUUAUUAUUAUUUAAACCUGACAUUGAGAUUGUUAUUGCAUGUAGUUUGAUACCUCCAUGUGUUUUCCAAAGUGAAUUCCUGAAGAUGAGAAAGAUCUGCCACGCAAAGAAUGACUGGGGGAGUAUAAAGUGGAGAGGAGCCAGCAUGCCCCAUCCUCUUAGACAGGACAGCAGUAGUUGUGGGGUCAUCGUCACCAUGAUGGCGAAGGCAGUGAUGGAGGCAUUUCCAGCAUUGUCACUCAUGUCCUUUGGGACAUCCAAGAAGGAGAUGGCUAAUGCGAGGACUAAGUUUGGACUUGGAUUACUCAGUGGUUCAGUGUUUGACAUGGACAACCACUGUGCAAUGUGCUCUGCCUCGAAGCCCCCAGGAUCAGGGCCUACAACUACUGAUGGAUAAUGUGUGACACAUGCCAGAGGUGGUACCAUUAGCAGUGUCUGGGGAUGAGUAAAGACCAACUCCUACAAGCAAGGGCAAGCAAGUGGGAUUGUGUCCUUUGCAAUUAGGACAUUUUAUUUUGUGGAGAGAUGUACAAAAAGAAAAAGUACCAAGUUCAUUGAAUAAAAAACUAUUACAGUAUCCAUCGAUGUAGACUACGAAAGUGGUGUAGCAAAGUUGAAAGAUGAAGACCCUAUGCCGCUGCCUAGAGGUUCAGUGGUGGAACUCCUGGUGGGGUGAAAUGGUUUCUGCAAAGACGCAUGCUGGUCUGUAGAGUAAUGGAGUUUGGGUGUCCCCGAACCUUUUCUUAAUCAUCAAAAUUAGGAUUCCUAUACUUGCAAGAUCACAUUAUUAUUCCACUGUGAUCCUACAAAGAGAAAAGCAUUAAAAUAUUUAAGUGAACAGCAAUGAAGCCCACG